UGUUGUAUUUAAGAAUGAACCUACUCGAGUCUCGGGUGCUAAAGUGGUUGUCUCUUGGAAUCUCAGAAAAAUCAAAUUUGGGUUAAAACACUUGACUUGUGCAGAAUAAAGGGCAAGAUUACUUUCAAAUCAAUAUAUUGAGAAGUCCAUUCUCUUAUUCUGAGGAUUCUACUUGAUUACAGUUCAAGAUUGAAUGUUUCUUUGAACUGGUGAAUGAGGAGAGACAUAUUUGAAAGCUAUGAAUUCAUUUACUUAUGGAGUAAACUGGCCUACUGACCUGAAUCAUAUUGAUGGAAAGAAAGUGAAGGGACUUGAAGGGAUAUAAGUCAUUAUUGGAAUAAUAUAACCAACUUCUUGGUGAUUUAAUAAAGGUUUAUUUGAGAUGCUAAAUGUAAUAAGCCGGAAAAAUUUAUAGGAUAUUCCUUCAAUAAUCCUUUUUUCAAGGAUAAUCGUGGAAUAUUUCCUUGGGUCUGAGAUGGGCACUUUAUUCAUCUUUAGAGAGGAGAAUUUAUUUUAUACAGAAGACAUCGUUUCCUAUUAAUUUAGAAGACUUGAAGAGAUAAAAGAUAUAAAAUAAUGCUCAAGAUAGAAGUACCUUUCUAUGUAGGAAUAUUUAAGAGGAUAUGGAGAAAGGAAACUUCAAGAUAAUCAGGAUGAUCAUAAGGUAUGUGCUUUCACUUUUUGAUGAGAAUUUAUUUUUAGCAGAAAUACGAACCGUAUUUAUUAUUAAUACUACACAAGUUUUUCAUAAUAUUUAAUUAUCUAUUAUGUAUCUUAUAACUAUAUCAUGAAAAAUGAAUGAGAAUAAAGGAGUUAUGAAGAUCAAA
rnacentral:lncRNA from 1 species